UUGACAUCACGUCACACGUGGGGUGACACGGAAGAGUCGGAAGACGCUGAAUCCGCAUGGUGUGGACGGACGAGGGUCCGGAACAGCGUUCAACAAGACCGAGGAGGUCUAAAGUCAGAGGCAACUAUGGGAGUGAUAAAGAAUUUCUAUGUUUGUGCUCCUGGAGUGGAUCCUUCCUUAGGAUCUGAAUGCAGAAAAAGAUCAUUGCACAUAACAAUUGGAUAAACCGGGACUAUGGACAAACUGAUAAACCCCCUUCUUUGCUAUAUCCGGAGAAAAUCCAUCCACAUUGGGAAGAAAACAAAAGGUUGCCGAAAACCAUCCAGGAUUGGCCCUUCCAUCAACAUGUGAUCACAACACAAGAGCGGACCUGUUUUGGAACUUACGUACAUCAUGAACUCGAAAGGGAACUACUGUUUUUUUCUUAGAUGAUUUUGAUUGGUCCAAAUAAGCGAAGUAAAAUUUUCAUAAUAUCCUCAUCCGAUUUACAUACUAAAACUAUAAUUGGAUUUAUCGCAUUUUUGCACACAAAAAAGGCUGAGGAUAUUAACACCUCAAUUUUGUAAGUCUGGCUCCAGUAAACCAGAAAAGGAACAUUGAUUAAUUCUGUAUAAAAAGCACCUGUGUAAACCCAAAGGCAGCAUCUCAUCAUUUUACUGCUCUUGAGAAAGACGAAACAUCGUUGAAACACGUAGAGCUUCUGUUUAUGAGCUUUUAUCUAUCUGUCCAUAGUGACACUUUUAAAUAAAUUUGUAUCUUUUAUGAA